GACACUGGGCCAAAAGAUGAAGGCUGGCCCCUCUGCUGAGAUGAACUGGAUGCACGACGGGGACAAUCCUUCUGUAUAUAUCCAAACUCGCCACACUCAUAAUAAUUCCUUGGAGCUGGGGGCUGGGACUGAAGGGAACCCUUCGCACCGGAGUAACUAGCUGAAGAACUAGGCCGAGAUGAACCCUGAACAGAUGGGGCAUGAGACAAACUCUGUGCUGGAAGUGCACUUAGAGAUGGCUGACUCUGCUAAAAGCCCUGAUAACCCCGACCCGAUGACAAACCACGGUACUCUGACCGAGCUGGCUGUGGAGGCCUGAAAGAACGACCCCUGAUCUGCUGAAACUGGCCCCUAGACGGAACACCACCGGAGCCACCUGAUCCUCGAGGCCUCUUGGCCUCCCUCUCCUCUCUCUCCUAACGACGAGCUGUCUCAAUAUCACGGGCUAUAUCCACCGUCUCCUCAAAAGUGUGACUUAGGACCCUCUCAUGUAUCAUCAGAAUACGGAUGGGAUAAAAAAGGUCGUCCACAAAUAGUCUGAUCCUCUCCUGAUCCGUCGGAACCAUCCACUUAGCAUAACGAGCUAAUUUUGCAAAUUUCAC
rnacentral:lncRNA from 1 species